UUUUCAAAAAACCAAUUUAAAUUAAAGAAAUUGUGAUUUUAACUUGAAUGUAAUUUAUUUUGAGUUUUUACAUUAAAAAAAUGAAAAUGUAGGUGUGUUUCUAAUUAUAUAUGAGUUUAGAAGACAUUUUUAUAAAUUUUGAGACCAAAUAUCUUUUCGGGUUUUUAGUGCGAUCAUUUCAAGCGAGCAAAAGUGAAAGUAGAAAAGCAGAAAGUUUCCGGUGAGGAAAAAUACUUCAUUCUAGCAGUGUCCAGCUAUCUAAGAUUAGUUUGCAUUGUAAGGGAAUUGUAUUAGUGUCCGAUAACAUGUAAAUUGAAAUGGAAGUCUUCUUCAAAGAAUAAAACACAACAAUGAGCCACACUUGAUAGUUUUUCAAUACAGACGCAUUUUGCCGGAAAACGAAUCUGACUUCAAACCAAGAAAUUUUAACAGGAAAGAGACAAUUUGAUGAGCUUUCAUUCAAGAGGUCCCUCGUUGCUGAACGAAAAUUAGGGCCGGAGCUAUGAACCAUAACGUUAACAUUACCGCCUAUGGAAUAUGCAUUAGUGGACUAUACCCAC